rnacentral:rRNA from 1 species
UACAGAGGGUGCAAGCGUUGUUCGGAAUUAUUGGGCGUAAAGCGCGUGUAGGCGGCUUUGCAAGUCGGGUGUGAAAGCCCUCAGCUUAACUGAGGAAGUGCGCCCGAAACUGCAGAGCUUGAGUACCGGAGAGGGUGGCGGAAUUCCCCAAGUAGAGGUGAAAUUCGUAGAUAUGGGGAGGAACACCGGUGGCGAAGGCGGCCACCUGGACGGGAUACUGACGCUGAGACGCGAAAGCGUGGGUAGCAAACAGG